GCGGGAAUCGUUCGCAAUGGGCGCAAGCCUGACGACGCGACGCCGCGUGAGGGAUGAAGUCUCUCGGGAUGUAAACCUCCGCCGGGAGAGAAGAACGACGCUCGGUUAAUACCCGGGCGAGCUGACGUUAUCUCCCAAGAAAGCCUCGGCUAACUACGUGCCAGCAGCCGCAGUAAUACGUAGGAGGCGAGCGUUGUCCGGAAUUACUGGGCGUAAAGGGUGUGUAGGCGGGUUGGUAAGUCGGGCGUGAAAUCCCGCGGCUCAACCGCGGAACUGCGCUUGAUACUGUCAGCCUGGAGUACGGGAGAGGAAAGCGGAACUCACGGUGUAGCGGUAAAAUGCGUAGAUAUCGUGAGGAACACCAGUGGCGUAGGCGGCUUUCUGGCCCGAUACUGACGCUGAAACACGAAAGCCGGGGGAGCGAACGG
rnacentral:rRNA from 1 species